UCAGCACGCAGGAAACGCAGGAGCGAUAACAGCCACCGGGGAUGCAGCUGCAGCUUGUAGAAGAUAACAGGGGGCAUGUAUCCUGCCAUGGAUUGUGCUUUCUGCCUGAAGAGCAGAGCACAGCACAGAUGCUCCAGUAUUUCUUCCGCCUGAACUGCGUUUAAAAGGGCUGCUGCAUGCAUGUGUCAGGAUGAAUUAUGCUUCUUUGGCUUCAGACUCCUUCCGGCAGCCAUAUAACAACUCAGUAGCAAUUCACACCCCAUCGUGUCUAACUGCAUACUUGUGGCAGGUACAACCGCCCUGACAAAGGCAAAGGUCCUGACAGACAAAGGGCUGAGGUCUGGUGGCAGGUGGUAACGAUCAGCUUGAUGAUCAGCAGUCAUCAGCUGGCACCUGCGGACCCAGGAGUUCUGACCUUGCUUCUUUUGUUGCUUGGGGGGCGCAGCCCUCGAGCUAAUUAAGAAAUCUAACUCAGUGCACCUGGGCGGGCUAGAAACGGAGUCCUGCUAUGGCGGAGGUUGGUCUCCACGCAGCAAGUGACCUGGCAGUUGGAUCCUCUCCCUUUAGACUGGGACCGCGUCGAAGGAGUCCUCACCCCUGCUUUGCUUUUGAAUUUCUUCUGGCUCUCCCAGCUCCUCUCUCUGACCAGAAGCUCCUUUUGCAAAUGGGAAAGUCAAGGAGUUCUGAAGACUGCAGGAAAGAGGUUUAUGUUUUGGCAACCACAUGCUCAGCUUCCCAGCCUUGCAGCUGCUGCCACAGCCUGAGCUGCCACUGAACCUCCUGUGUAGCACACAUGGACAGGAUGUGCUCCUCGAGGAAUUCUGUGCUGUCCUCCUGCUAGG